rnacentral:rRNA from 1 species
GACGAACGCUGGCGGCGUGCUUAACACAUGCAGGUCGAACGAAGCAUUUAGAACGGAUUACUUCGGUUUGAAGUUCUUUAUGACUGAGUGGCGGACGGGUGAGUAACGCGUGGGUAACCUGCCUUGUACUGGGGGAUAGCAGCUGGAAACGGCUGGUAAUACCGCAUAAGCGCACAAUGUUGCAUGACAUGGUGUGAAAAACUCCGGUGGUAUAAGAUGGACCCGCGUCUGAUUAGCUAGUUGGUGAGAUAACAGCCCACCAAGGCGACGAUCAGUUGCCGACCUGAGAGGGUGACCGGCCACAUUGGGACUGAGACACGGCCCAGACUCCUACGGGAGGCAGCAGUGGGGAAUAUUGCACAAUGGAGGAAACUCUGAUGCAGCGACGCCGCGUGAGUGAAGAAGUAAUUCGUUAUGUAAAGCUCUAUCAGCAGGGAAGAUAGUGACGGUACCUGACUAAGAAGCUCCGGCUAAAUACGUGCCAGCCGCCGCGGUAACAC